rnacentral:misc_RNA from 1 species
UCCGAGUUCACCCCGGCAGUCUCCCAUGAGUUCCCGGCAUAACCCGCUGGCAACAUAGAACAAGGGUUGCGCUCGUUGCGGGACUUAACCCAACAUCUCACGACACGAGCUGACGACAACCAUGCACCACCUGUACACCCCCAACCAAAUGACCCCCCAUCUCUGGAGGAACAAGGUGCAUGUCAAAUCCUGGUAAGGUUCUUCGCGUUGCAUCGAAUUAAGCCGCAUGCUCCGCCGCUUGUGCGGGCCCCCGUCAAUUCCUUUGAGUUUUAGCCUUGCGGCCGUACUCCCCAGGCGGGGCGCUUAAAGCGUUAGCUACGGCACAGAAAACAUGCAAGUCCCCCACACCUAGCGCCCAACGUUUACAGCGUGGACUAC